rnacentral:rRNA from 1 species
CCUACGGGUGGCAGCAGUCGAGAAUCAUUCACAAUGGGGGAAACCCUGAUGGUGCGACGCCGCGUGGGGGAAUGAAGGUCUUCGGAUUGUAAACCCCUGUCAUGUGGGAGCAAAUUAAAAAGAUAGUACCACAAGAGGAAGAGACGGCUAACUCUGUGCCAGCAGCCGCGGUAAUACAGAGGUCUCAAGCGUUGUUCGGAAUCACUGGGCGUAAAGCGUGCGUAGGCUGUUUCGUAAGUCGUGUGUGAAAGGCGCGGGCUCAACCCGCGGACGGCACAUGAUACUGCGAGACUAGAGUGAUGGAGGGGGAACCGGAAUGCUCGGUGUAGCAGUGAAAUGCGUAGAUAUCGAGAGGAACACUCGUGGCGAAGGCGGGUUCCUGGACAUUAACUGACGCUGAGGCACGAAGGCCAGGGGAGCGAAAGGGAUUAGAUACCCGAGUAGUC